rnacentral:lncRNA from 1 species
CAGCUGUAGAGCACGUAAGAAGCUCUUGUUUCAUCGAGUUGACCCUGAAGCUGUAAGCUUAAAAUACCUUUCUACCAAACUGGAGCCCAACGGAUAUCCCAAUAAUUGCAUGCUCAAUGGAAAUGAACAGAUUGCCCAUAUCCGUGAACAAAUAUCAUUUUCCGUUCAUGCCUUCAAUGAUUUUUUUUUUCAUUUUUUAACCUUUUAUUAAAGGGCAAUUAUGAAAUGGGGAGGUGGAGGAAGCAUAGUGCGGUGGUGGAGGGAGCAACACCCUUUUGAAAAUAUUUUGUUAAGUAAGUAAAGUUAUUUGUAUUAACAACAAAAUAUCCCACAACGUACCAGAGUUGUCAAAACAGGUAACCCGACUCAACCCAGUCCAACCCAUCACAGGUUGGUCACUUAGUGAGUUAACCCAACCCAACUCACUUAUUAGGAAGCU